GCCUGGGUGGCUUAGUUGGUUAAGCAUCUGACUUCGGCUCAGGUCAUGAUCUCACGGUUUGUGGGUUCUGGCCCCACAUAGGGCU
rnacentral:tRNA from 1 species